rnacentral:rRNA from 1 species
GAUGAACGCUGGCGGCGUGCCUAAUACAUGCAAGUCGAGCGAACGGACGAGAAGCUUGCUUCUCUGAUGUUAGCGGCGGACGGGUGAGUAACACGUGGAUAACCUACCUAUAAGACUGGGAUAACUUCGGGAAACCGGAGCUAAUACCGGAUAAUAUUUUGAACCGCAUGGUUCAAAAGUGAAAGACGGUCUUGCUGUCACUUAUAGAUGGAUCCGCGCUGCAUUAGCUAGUUGGUAAGGUAACGGCUUACCAAGGCAACGAUGCAUAGCCGACCUGAGAGGGUGAUCGGCCACACUGGAACUGAGACACGGUCCAGAAGCUACGGGAGGCAGCAGUAGGGAAUCUUCCGCAAUGGGCGAAAGCCUGACGGAGCAACGCCGCGUGAGUGGUGAAGGUCUUCGGAUCGUAAAACUCUGUUAUUAGGGAAGAACAUAUGUGUAAGUAACUGUGCACAUCUUGACGGUACCUAAUCAGAAAGCCACGGCUAACUACGUG